GAUGAACGCUAGCGGCAGGCUUAAUACAUGCAAGUCGAGGGACAGCACAGGUAGCAAUACUGGGUGGUAACCGGCAAACGGGUGCGGAACACGUACACAACCUUCCUUUAAGUGGGGGAUAGCCCAGAGAAAUUUGGAUUAAUACCCCGUAAUAUAGUUGAAUGGCAUCAUUUGAUUAUUAUAGCUACGGCGCUUAAUGAUGGGUGUGCGGCUGAUUAGAUAGUUGGCGGGGUAACGGCCCACCAAGUCUACGAUCAGUAGCUGAUGUGAGAGCAUGGUCAGCCACACGGGCACUGAGACACGGGCCCGACUCCUACGGGAGGCAGCAGUAAGGAAUAUUGGUCAAUGGACGCAAGUCUGAACCAGCCAUGCCGCGUGAAGGAUUAAGGUCCUCUGGAUUGUAAACUUCUUUUAUUUGGGACGAAAAAGGGCCUCUCUAGGUCAACUGACGGUACCAGAUGAAUAAGCACCGGCUAACUCCGUGCCAGCAGCCGCGGUAAGAC
rnacentral:rRNA from 1 species